rnacentral:rRNA from 1 species
UACGAAGGGGGCUAGCGUUGCUCGGAAUCACUGGGCGUAAAGCGCACGUAGGCGGAUUGUUAAGUCAGGGGUGAAAUCCUGGAGCUCAACUCCAGAACUGCCUUUGAUACUGGCGAUCUUGAGUCCGGGAGAGGUGAGUGGAACUGCGAGUGUAGAGGUGAAAUUCGUAGAUAUUCGCAAGAACACCAAUGGCGAAGGCAGCUCUCUGGGACGGUACUGACGCUGAGACGCGAAAGCGUGGGGAGCGAACAGG